rnacentral:snRNA from 1 species
ACACCUUCUCGGCUCUCUGAGCUAAGAUCAUAUGUAAUAUCUGUUCUUUGCAGUGUAAUUUCUGCAACGGUCUCCAAACUGAGACCAAUGAAAUUAACUGUAUUUUUUCCAUUACGGACGGGUGUUGUGAGCUUACUCAAUCCUGUCCAUGGGUCGGUCUCGUAUUGCAUUACCUCAAGGAUUGGCCCAUUAAAG